UGGAGGCUGUGGAGACUGCGGACGGUGUGCCGGGAAUGGAGUGGCCGAGUACAUCCAUGGCAACCAGUAAGGUGUUCGGCAGUGGCCUAGAUGGUAUGACCUUAGGUGAGGAGGUCUGCUGUGUGGAAAUCGCCUUCUUGGUCUGACUCUUGCUGCCAAGGUACCCCUUAUUACGGCUGUUUGCCUUCCUCUCAGCUCCGAUGCACUUUGAGUGAAUCCUUAACCUCAGCCUGAUAUAUGUUGAAAGGAUUUUUUUUUUCAGCUCAUGGCAUGAGGGAAGGUUGCUGUUCAGACUCAUGGCCUCUCUUUCCAGCUGUUCCACUACGUUGGAGGAUUCCAUAAGGGAAUCACUCGUCUUGGAACGGAAGAGCUGCUCCACGUGCUGCAGGAGAGUGAACAGCUCAUCGGAUGGCCGUGCACAUUGGCAUUCCUCACAGAGCGAGAAGCUGAUGACCCUCUUCGCUACGUAUCCUGCCAGGUGGUAGAGGACACAAGACUCGGUCUUUGUGAGGUCAGAUGGUGAUGGGUCUACCAGCUGCUCCACUCUCACAACCUCAGAAGCACUGCAGUUGCUGUUCUUGUUGUCCAAGAAGUCCGCCAAGUGGUCUGAUGCAUCAUCCAGAUCUUCCUGGAUCUCCAGGAUCGUUGUUGUGGCCAUCAUCAGUCCUGUCUGCGACAUUAUAAUAUGCUGUGAAUGGUUUGCCCUAUAUAUAGUGUUAUCUGUCUCAACAGAUCUUGCUGGACCAGCAGUAUCGUUUUUGUGGCCAUCACAGGUUUCAGUGGAGCGCCCCCACCCCCCCAAAAAAAAUGGUUACGAUACCUGUUCUUAACGCCUCUUUACACAUUUGUUGUUCUUGUUCACACAUACUGUACGUAUGUUUGUUGAUAUUAUUCAUGCUUGUUCCCAUUAUUUU